rnacentral:misc_RNA from 1 species
GAUGAAGAACGCAGCGAAGUGCGAUAAGUAAUGUGAAUUGCAGAAUUCCGUGAAUCAUCGAAUCUUUGAACGCAAAUUGCACUUUCUGGUAUUCCGGAGAGUACGCCUGUUUGAGGGUCAGUGUAAUAAAAAUAAAUCGUGGUUGUUUGCCACCUUUUCGUGGUGACGCUUCGGAAUUGAGUCGUCUUUACCCCUUCGGGUUAAGUGACUUAAAAUUUUUUCAUACGAUUUCGAAACGUAUUUAAUGUAUUAUGUACGUUCACGAAUAUCGAAUGUUUAUUAGGUGCGGUCAUUUUUCAUGAAUUCGCGUCUAUAAUUUUUUUUUUUUUUGACCUCAAAUCAGGUAAGAAUACCCGCUGAACUUAAGCAUAUCAAUAAGCGGAGGA